rnacentral:rRNA from 1 species
AUCUGCCCGAUGGAGGGGGAUAACCACUGGAAACGGUGGCUAAUACCGCAUAACGUCGCAAGACCAAAGUGGGGGACCUUCGGGCCUCACACCAUCGGAUGAACCCAGAUGGGAUUAGCUAGUAGGUGGGGUAAUGGCUCACCUAGGCGACGAUCCCUAGCUGGUCUGAGAGGAUGACCAGCCACACUGGAACUGAGACACGGUCCAGACUCCUACGGGAGGCAGCAGUGGGGAAUAUUGCACAAUGGGCGCAAGCCUGAUGCAGCCAUGCCGCGUGUGUGAAGAAGGCCUUCGGGUUGUAAAGCACUUUCAGCGAGGAGGAAGGUGGUGAGCUUAAUACGCUCAUCAAUUGACGUUACUCGCAGAAGAAGCACCGGCUAACUCCGUGCCAGCAGCCGCGGUAAUACGGAGGGUGCAAGCGUUAAUCGGAAUUACUGGGCGUAAAGCGCACGCAGGCGGUUUGUUAAGUCAGAUGUGAAAUCCCCGAGCUUAACUUGGGAACUGCAUUUGAAACUGGCAAGCUAGAGUCUCGUAGAGGGGGGUAGAAUUCCAGGUGUAGCGGUGAAAUGCGUAGAGAUCUGGAGGAAUACCGGUGGCGAAGGCGGCCCCCUGGACGAAGACUGACGCUCAGGUGCGAAAGCGUGGGGAGCAAACAGGAUUAGAUACCCUGGUAGUCCACGCCGUAAACGAUGUCGAUUUGGAGGUUGUGCCCUUGAGGCGUGGCUUCCGGAGCUAACGCGUUAAAUCGACCGCCUGGGGAGUACGGCCGCAAGGUUAAAACUCAAAUGAAUUGACGGGGGCCCGCACAAGCGGUGGAGCAUGUGGUUUAAUUCGAUGCAACGCGAAGAACCUUACCUACUCUUGACAUCCAGAGAACUUACCAGAGAUGCAUUGGUGCCUUCGGGAACUCUGAAACAGGUGCUGCAUGGCUGUCGUCAGCUCGUGUUGUGAAAUGUUGGGUUAAGUCCCGCAACGAGCGCAACCCUUAUCCUUUGUUGCCAGCGGUUCGGCCGGGAACUCAAAGGAGACUGCCAGUGAUAAACUGGGAGGA